rnacentral:rRNA from 1 species
UAGUUGGAUUUCUGUUGAGGACGGCCGGUCCGCACUAUGUGCGUGUAUCUGGUUCGGCCUCGGCAUCCUCUUGAGGAACGUUUCUGCGCUUGAUUGCGUGGAGCGGUAUUCAAGACUUUUACUUUGAGGAAAUUAGAGUGUUCACGGCAGGCAAGCGCCUUGAAUAUGUUAGCAUGGAAUAAUAAUAUAGGAUCUUGGUUCUAUUUGUUGGUUUCUAGGGCUAAGGUAAUGAUUAAUAGGGAUAAUUGGGGGCAUUUGUAUUAACGCGUCAGAGGUGGAAUUCUUGGAUUGCGUUACGACGAACUACUGCGAAAGCAUUUGCCAAGGAUGUUUUCAUUGAUCAAGAACGAAAGUAAGGGGAUCGAAGAUGAUUAGAUACCGUCGUAGUCUUUACCAUAAACUAUGCCAACUAGAGAUGGGGCGUCGUUCUACUUUAACUCGCUCCGCACCUCAUGAGAAAUCAAAGUUUUUGGGUUCCGGGGGGAGUAUGGUCGCAAGGCUGAAACUUAAAGGAAUUGACGGAAGGGCACCACCAGGAGUGGAGCCUGCGGCUUAAUUUGACUCAACACGGGGAAACUCACCCGGCCCGGACACAGUGAGGAUUGACAGAUUGAGAGUUCUUUCUUGAUUCUAUGGGUGGUGGUGCAUGGCCCGUUCUUAG